ensembl:lncRNA
GAUAUCAGGAUGUCGAAAACAACAGAGGAGGAGAUGCCUGCUGACCAACCAGGAGACAGUUCAGAUUCGGACAGAAACAGCCCUGAUGACAAGCUCCAGCCGACCAGAAGCCCAGCCUCAGCCUGUCUCCCGCCCUCACCUGUCUCCCGCCCUACCUUUAAUGUGUCGGACGGUCGGGGAGAGCCCUGAGAUUACCCAGAUCCACGCCGUGCCUCCAGCGCCCCCUCCUGGCCAAACCGGUCAACAGCAACAACAGCAACAGCAGCAACAGCAACAACAACAGCAACAACUACAGCAACAGCAACAACAACAGCAGCAACAGCAACAACAACAGCAGCAGCAACAACAGCAACAGGCCCAACAACAACAACAGCAGGCCCAACACCAUCACACACAGCUGAUGAUCGCCGGCUCCCAGUUAGCAGGGCUGGCCGCCCUCCUCCCCGCCCAGCAGCAGCUCCUCCUCCAGCAGGCCCAGGCCCAGCUCCUCGCCGCCGCCGUGCAGCAGUCCAACGCCGUGCACGCCGCCCAGGCCGCCGCCCACAAACAGGCGAGCCACCAGCAGCAGCAGCAGCAUCAGCAGCACCAGCAGCAGCAGCUGCAGCAGCUACAACAGCUGCAGCAGCUGCAGCAGCUACAGCAGCUGCAGCAGCAGCAGCUGCAGCAACAACAACAGCAGCUGCAGCAGCAGCAGCAGCAGCAGCAGCAGCAGAGCCAAUCACAGGCCGCGCAGCUCCAGCAUCAUCAGCAGCAGCCCUCGACCAAGCAGGAGCAGCAGCAGCAAGCCACGCCCCCUCCCCAGCCACAGCUGUCGCUGUCUCAGCCAAUCCAGCUCACUGCUCAGGACAUCCAGCAGCUCUCUGCAGCUGCAGCAGUU